ACUGGGUUUCAAUUUUCCUCGUUCACCCUAACUAACCGAAUAUCCUUUAAAACACGUUAAUUUUAAAUAAAGGCAAGCUUAUUCUCAAGUUCGAAAUGUCGUGUCCUAACUUACUGGACAUGGUGUUUUAUUACUUCGAGACAAAAAGGUCUUUAACAUUUGAGCAUUUUUUUUGCAAAAAGGGAUCGUAUUUCAAAGUCUUCCAAGUUUUCAAGUUUUCGACAACAAAGACACUAAUUAAUCAACUAGGUACCAAUUUUGGACGUUGCAAGGGUGCUAAUCCUUCCUCGUGCGUAACCGACUCC
rnacentral:lncRNA from 1 species